UGGGGAAUCUUAGACAAUGGGGGAAACCCUGAUCUAGCCAUGCCGCGUGAGUGAUGAAGGCCCUAGGGUCGUAAAGCUCUUUCGCUGGGGAAGAUAAUGACUGUACCCAGUAAAGAAACCCCGGCUAACUCCGUGCCAGCAGCCGCGGUAAUACGGAGGGGGUUAGCGUUGUUCGGAAUUACUGGGCGUAAAGCGCACGUAGGCGGACUAUUAAGUCAGGGGUGAAAUCCCGGGGCUCAACCCCGGAACUGCCCUUGAUACUGGUAGUCUAGAGUUCGAGAGAGGUGAGUGGAAUUCCGAGUGUAGAGGUGAAAUUCGUAGAUAUUCGGAGGAACACCAGUGGCGAAGGCGGCUCACUGGCUCGAUACUGACGCUGAGGUGCGAAAGUGUGGGGAGCAAACAGGAUUAGAUACCCCCGUAGUCC
rnacentral:rRNA from 1 species